rnacentral:misc_RNA from 1 species
AAGUCGUAACAAGGUAGCCGUACCGGAAGGUGCGGCUGGAUCACCUCCUUUCUAAGGAGCAACUCCUUGCUCGGACCAGCACACAGGUGCCGGGGGAGCGAGGCAGAGCCAUUUCGGAUUCACACGUAAUCCGGUGGUGCUCAUGGGUGGAACGCUGACAGUCAUCACCGCGCGGGAAGGACCCGAGUGUCCUUCUGCGGUGGUUAUAUCGGUGCACUGUUGGGUCCUGAGAGAACACGCGAGUGUUUUGUCAGCGACGAUGAUCGGGAACGAAGGGGUUGUUUCUUCUUCCGGUACCGGUUGUUGUGUGUUGUUUGAGAACUGCACAGUGGACGCGAGCAUCUUUGUUGUAAGUGUUUAUGAGCGUACGGUGGAUGCCUUGGCACCAGGAGCCGAUGAAGGACGUGGGAGGCUGCGAUAUGCCUCGGGGAGCUGUCAACCGAGCUGUGAUCCGAGGAUUUCCGAAUGGGGAAACCCA